rnacentral:lncRNA from 1 species
UUCCACCAAGCCAUUCGAGGCAGAUCAAGGCACCGCAGGUCUCACCACCAGGAAACCUAACAAGGAAAUCCUCGAGCAUGAUCGCAAGCGUCAGAUUGAGCUCAAGCUCGUGAUUUUGGAAGAUAAACUAGCCGAACAAGGUUACACUGAAUCUGAGAUCGCUGAUAACCUUGUCGAAGCUAGGAAGGCUCUCGAAGAUGCUCAACAAGAGAAAGACGAAGAAGAAGGAGAAGUCAUACCAAUCCCUACUCACCAGCAAAAGUAAAUUCUUGUUUAUUUAUUGAUUAAUUCAUGUUUUGGAGGUUUUGGUUUUCGGUUACGCAGGCUCACCAAGUGGAUAAUUAGUUUUCGGAUACACAAACUCAUUAUUGAUUUAUGUUCUUUUAUUAUUUAUUGAUUCAUUCAUGUUUUAGUGGUUAGGUUUUCGGAUACACAGACUCACCGCCGCAAGGAAGGAGUAGCAGAUGGAGACCUUUAGGGCUGCUCUCGGUAUUGGAGCUUCUGAAUCUGGGCUUCCCCCUCUGCCAAAUCCUCUAAACAACAUCGAUGAGCGGUCACAUAAUUGUGAUUAGGAUUUAAGGUAUAACCAUUAGGGUAAGAAAAAUAGUAAUAGUAAGAUUAAAUAUUGUAAUUAUAGUAUUAGAUAUUGUAGCACUAUAACGUAAAAUAAAAAAUUAAACGCAUUAUACUAUACCCACUGUUCAUUUGAAUCCACUCUCGCUCAACUUUCAUUCUCAUCAUUCAAUGACACAAUUUCUUCCAUGAAAAACGGUUCAUUAAGCAUCAAAGAAACCUUUUACAAACAAUUUCCUAUUCUUGCACGGUUUCAUAAAAAUUUUAGAGCCAUAAAUGUUCAAAGUACAUUCUUAUCACCCAAAGAUGCAAUUCUUGUCAAUCGAACACGAAUAUAUGAAUUAUCAACUGAUCUAAAAUUGCUAAAAAUUCUUAUUUAAAAGAAAAUUUUUGAGGGAUAUAUUUUGUAAUUUAAAUAAAAAUUUUAUAUAGCUUUUUAAGUUUAUUGUUUUUGACAAAUAAUAAAAUUUUAAAUUUGAUUUUAAAAUGGGAUAAACUUUAACAUGCAAAUAGUUCAAAAGUUUAAAAGUAUUUAAUAGGUGCUGCUAAGACGAUUGGUGCCACUUUUUUUUAUCCGAUCUAAAAAGGAUAAUUACUUCAUCAAGUCCCUAAACGUUUUAUAUAAUUAUAUUUCAAUCCACCCAAAAAAAUUAUUAUUUUUUAAACUAACCAAUAAUUGGAGAAGGUAACAUCAAUGACAAUAGCGUCAUUAUUUAUGUACAUAACUUUUAAAGUAGGCCAUUUUAUAAAUAAUCAAAAGUUUUAAGUCAUUUUUAUAAAAAGCUGAAAAAAAUUGAACUAAAGGAAUGGGUUUCAAGAACUAAUCCAAACAAAUCAUCAAAUCCAAAUCAAAUUUAGGGGUUUCUUUUGGGGGGUGGGGAGCAAAAGGAAAUGAAGGAGGCUUUCGUUUUAAGCUUGAUCUCUACGCUGUGGUAUUUCAAGGAAUUUGCGAAGUUUUCUUCUUCAAUCUUUUGCAGUCACGUCUUCGUCUAGAAAACUGGAAAUUGAAAUGCUUCGUAUUUAUUAUGGAGAACGUAAAAUGUGGAGCAGUGCAGAAAUCGAAACCCCUUCCAACGACAGAUGAACACCUCUAUCUUGCAUGACCAUACCAGGCUCAAAAGUUGAAAACCUGGUGAAUGAUGCUAGGAAAUAAGCUCAAAUCCCUGAACAAUGAUCAAUGAAUAAGUGUACUCUCAUCUAUCGAACCCCAUCUCGGCCUGUUCUCGCAAACAAGAAUUGCUGAAUUCUGAUCAUACCAAAGCUGAAAAGUUAAAACCCUGUAAAUGAUGCUAAGAAUUAGGGCCAACACAUUGUAUUAUAGCUACAACAUAUCAAAAGAUGGCACCAUCACUCAUUGAUGAACCCAUGUUGUUGUACUUUAGGAGCCGUAUCCUAAUCGUUUUCCAUGAAUUCAAGUUUUUGGAUCUGUAAAUACUUUCUUUAUCUCUAGGUAAUAUAUUUAUCACUACAUCUAAUAUUAAUGAGUAAAUAAUUUGUUCUAAUUUUACUAAACUGAAGCAAUUCGAAACACAGUUAAACCAAACAUAUAUAUCACCAAAAUAAAACAAAACUCUAAGAAAGAAACCAAUUUUGACUAUCAAAAUAUGCAUUAGAGCAAAUGUUACUGUUAGAGUUGUGUGAUCCAAAUUUCUAUUAAAGAAAUCCAUGUGUUUUAUUUUUCUCUUCUUAUUGUUUUGUGAUCUUUCUAUAUUACAAUUAUCGACGUUCAGCUUUAUCAAUUACAAAACAAUGGAAGUUUUUAUGAGCUAGAUGAUUAUCUAUUAGCUUAUUAAACACGAUGUGAACAACAAUUGUUUGAACUUUAAUAAUAACACCCUAUUUAGAUUCGAGCGUAAGUGUCAUAUGUGAAUAUAUUUAAUUUUAGUUUCUAAAUGAUCAUACACUAGAAAAGCACUAAACUUCAUAACUUUGCUUAGGUAAGCCCUUAUAUUGUUCUCAAAUAAGUCCUUGUCUUUUUUUUUUUUGCUUCAUUCAAAUUAUUUUGUUUAAAAGCAACAGAACUGUAAUUCCAGUUAAACAAUACAAUUGUCACAAAAGCUAUUAUAACAUGAAAACCAGGCAUUCCAAUCACCAAUUUAACAUUCACUACCAUGCCUUGAGCAUAACCCUGUGAUUUAAUACCUGUUGUCGCUAAUGUUUCUGCCAUUUCAUUGCCAUGCUGCUCUGCUUUUGAAAAUGCUAUCUUACCCACACAGGCUAGUCUCCUUUCCGUAUUUGUGAAUGUAGUUUGUUGCGACCAAGUUCUCUUUAUCCUUUUAUUUGUAUCUAGAAAACUGAUUCGAGUAGACUAUCAAAUAAGCCUUUAACCUAUCAUCUAUAUCCAAAUAUAAGCACUUAAGAGCUUGUUUCAAUACAAAUUGAAGGUUUGAGAGUUCAAUGUGGGUAAAAAUUAAAGGAUAGAAGGUUAUUUUGUACCCAUAUAAAUUUGUAACAAUAAUUACAUGCAAAUAGAAAAAUUCAGGCUUCGUUCAUCCAAAUCGAUAGAAAAAUAAACAUUAAGGGUCUGUUUGAUUGAAGGAAUUGAUUUUCCGGAAAAUCAUUUUUAACUUUUCCAGCGUUUGAUUGGCGGAAAACAUUUUCCAUUUGGAAAAUAAACUCCAAAACAAGGGAAAAUGGGUUACAUUUUAGGGAAAAUAUCUUACCCUUUCAAUUUCCGUAAGACAUUUUCCGUGCUCUCCUCUCUAUCGCCUCCUUCAUUCCUUCCUUCAUUUCCGGUAGAAAAUUGCUUCUGUUUAUCGAUUUCCCAGUAACUUGUUUUUUUAAUUAUUCAAUACUUGUUUUUUUAACAUAAUUACAAAUAAUUUAUUUGAUAUUAAUUUUUUUCAAUUUAUAACGAUUAAUAUUGUAGCUUAAUAAUUGAGUAUUAUUAUAAAUAAAUCAUUGCAAUAUAUGUAAAAAUAAUUUAAAAUAUAAAAAUUUAUUAAUACAUAUCAAUAUAUGUAAAAACAAUUUUUUCGAAAAUAUUUUCAGAAAAUCUGCCAAACAGCCGAAAAUAUUUUACACAGAUUCAAUCAAACAUCAGAAAAUAUUUUCCAGUAAAUCAUUUUACAAAAAAGUAAAACAUUUUCCCGAAAUCAUUUUACGGAAAAUAUUUUACUGGAAAUCAAACAGACCCUAAAUUCAAAUCAUUUAUAAUUUAAAUUUGAAAAUAUAGUUAAUUAUAUUCCUUUCAUCCGACUAUAAAACUAAAUUAUUUAUAUUUAAUUUAUUAAUUUUAAAUUAAAUAAAAUCGAUUUUAAACAAAAUAUUUAAUUAGAAUUUUAUUGACAUUAUAAUAUUCAAAUAAAAUUUAAUUUUAAGUUAAACUAUAUAGAUAGUCAUCAAAUAAUUCAAGAUUUUUAUUUUAGGCAUCCAAAAUAAUAAUAAUAAGUCAUAAUUUGAGCAUUCAUGUUACAUAGUUCGAUUAUUUUGGUCAAUCAUGUUAAAAUCAUGAACGACAAGCUAGUGUGGCAACUAAAAAAUGGUACAAUAAUAAAUCUAACCCUCAAUUUUUAUUUAUUAUACCGAUUUAGUCAUAAUUUUAAAAAAUUAACCCUUAAAAAUUUAAAAUAUUUUUAAUUUAAUUCUAAUUUAAAAAAUUUAAAGAAAUAUAAAUAUUUUUUUUUCAAAAAAUAUAAUAAAUAUAUAUAUAUUUGAUGGUGGGGAGGGAUGGGGAUGGGGAUGGGGAGAGGGAGAGGGAUUAUUUAAUAUAACAUUUAAAUAGUUUAAGAAAUAUAAACUAAUGGUUGAUUUACAUAAUUUACUGAAAAAAAUAUUUAAAAGGUUUAAAUAUGUUAACCCACAAAUUUAAUAAAAUUAAUUUAAUUUUAAAAUAUUAAAUCCAUACUAGGGGCCAAUUUUGGAAAAUAUGCUGAAAAAUAAUAUUUAGUAUCAUAUGUCUAGAAUUUGAUGCAUCGAACAUAUUAUCAUAUGUGUAAUGUCAUGUCCAUUUAUUGUUUCCACGUCUUACUCACUUUAAUAGAUUAACAACUAUCAUUUAUGUCAUAAUUGAAAUUUCAAAAUUCGACAAGUAUAAAGACUUAGAAUGACGCAAUUGGAGAAUAUGGGCUAAAACUACAAAUGUAUGCAUAGUAUAAGACUAGUAGUUAAAUUUAACCAAACGGAUUUAACUGCUACUGAUUGGGUCAAGACUAAUAUUUCGAAUUUUGAAAAGUACAGGGAAUAAAAUUGACCGAUUCAAAAAGAAUAGGACUAAAAGUGAUCAAAUAAAAGGAGAAGAGCUAAAUCCACAACUUGGAUAAAGUACAGGGACUAAUAUCGAAAUUUAACCUAUAUAUAUUAUAAAGGCUAGGGUUAACGGCAGACGAAAGCACAAUUCUCCGUGAGUUUCCUUUCUUUUUCGUUUGAAUUUCUCUGUUUCUGAUUUCCAUUGGUAAAACUAGCAAUUGCAGGUUGUUGAUUUUUUUCUUAAUCGUAAAAUUGAAAAAAAAGAAAUCGCAGAAGAUUUGAGAUAGUGUUUUGAAAAGAAAUCCCUAAAUGUACAACGGAAUCGGACUGACCACCCCUAGGGGGUCAGGCACCAAUGGUUACAUUCAGAGCAACAAAUUCUUUGUAAAGGCGAAGACGAAUUGGGUAACCCAUUCCACCAAGCCUUUCGAGGCAGAUCAAGGCACCGCAGGUCUCACCACCAGGAAACCUGACAAGGAAAUCCUCGAGCAUGAUCGCAAGCGUCAGAUUGAGCUCAAGCUCCUGAUUUUGGAGGAUAAACUCGCCGAACAAGGUUACACUGAAUCUGAGAUCGCUGAUAAGCUUGUCGAAGCUAGGGAGGCUCUCGAAGAUGCUCAACAAGAGAAAGACGAAGAAGAAGGAGAAGUUAUACCAAUCCCUACUCGCCAGCAAAAGUAAUUUCUUGUUUGUUUAUUGAUUAAUAAUGAAUGAUUGAUGUUUUUCUUUUAUUAUUUAUUGAUUCAUUCAUGUUUUGGUGGUUAGGGUUUUGGAUACACAGACCCACCAAAUUGCUGCAAGGAAGGAGGAGCAGAUGGAGACCUUUAGGGCUGCUCUUAGGAUUGGAGCUUCUGAAUCUGGGCUUCCUCCUCUGCCAAAUCCUCGAAAGAACAUCGAUUUUGAUCAAUGCAGACAAGAAACAUGAGGUAACCAUUGGUGUAGGUACCCUAUGAGCCUGAGCCAUAUGACACUUUUCUAAAAGUUCCUUGGUAUAGAUACAACCUUUGAUCGGUGCAGACAAGAAACAUGAGCUAGCCUGAGUUUGUGGUUGAGGGUUUGAUGCGUCUUUUCCUUCAACACUUCUUUUAAAUAAUUUUUACCCUAGCCAUCUGAAUGUGAGCAGUCGAGUAGAAAUGACUUGUGGGAAAUAUGAAUCGUUAAGGGCCAUUGAUCGUCGCCACAGUCAUCACACCUUUUCUCCCUCCUGAUUUGGAGAGAGAAACGUGAAUCGACAAGCUUUUGCGUUUGGAUGCCUUCCAAACCCAUCAAGUUAUUCAAGCUUGACACACACCAAUAGAGGAUCUCAAGUGCUCGAACCUAGUUGCAUCCAACUGGUUGAUAUUGUGUAGACACAAACUUAAGCUCAACAACAUCAUUCUCAGUCAAUCCCCUUAUAAAAUCACGUCUGAUAUCUAUAUGUUUAGUCCUCCAAUGAUACAUUAGAUUCUUGGAAAUGUUAAUGGCAUUUGUAUUAUCACACAAUGCAGUAGCCAUGUCCAAUUCAACACCAAAAUCCAGCUUCUAUAGUUUGCAACGUCAACAAUUCUAAUACCAAAAUUGGUCCAAGAUUAUUAAAUAAAAAGAAAGUUACAAGUACUUAAUGUCUCGAUUAAAGUACAAUGACUAAAUUUUAAAUUUCAAAAAAAUAUAGAGACCUCUACCAUAUUUAAGCCUAUUUAGAUAAAUAAAAGCUAUGAAAGUUUAUUUAAAUAAAUUGGUGAAAUUCAAAAGUUUCGGCCUGAUUUUAUAAAUACUAAUAAUGCCCAAAUUCGUAUUGUGCUUAAAGGUGACCAUGAGUCAGGUCGGGCCUCAAUAGAAUUUUAGGCCCAUUUUUUAGGUUUGGGCUUGACCCAAUUCGAAAAAUAAGCCUAAAAUUUAUUAAGAUUUUCUUAUAUUAUUAUUUUUAUAUAAAUACAAAUUUAAAAAAUAUAACACAUCAAAUACACUAAAAACAUUCAAAUAAAUAUUUCUCAACAAAUUGAAAAUUUAUUUAUACUUAAAUAACACUAAGACAAGUGCAACUUAGCGAGUAAUACUUCGCAAAAUUAAUAAUAAAAUAAGAGUUAUAUAAUAUCCAAACGAUAAUAACAAAAUAGUAACAAAGCAACAACGAAAUAAAAACAAAACAAUAAAUUCGAGUCGGUCAAAAAUAAGAAUUUUAUGUUUAUUAAAUUAUUAAUCUUUAAUAUGUGGAAUCAAGAAUAUAUGAAUUCCAUUUUUAUUGGAAUGAAACAAAAUUUUUAAGAUGAAAUAAUGGUUUUAUGGCUUAAGAAUGACAUUUUAUAAUUAUAAAUAUAAUUGUUAUACUUUUUUAGAAGUGGUGUGAAUUUGAAAAAUUUUGAGCUUCCAAGACGCAUAGUGAUGGUGAUGUUUAUUUGCUGGGUCUAUAAUUGAUUCAACAAUGCACAAACUUAUAUCCAAAAUUGAUCUAAAAGUUCAAGAUUAUUAAAUAAAAUAAAAUACACCAACUCAAUUUUAAAUUUUAAAAAAAUAUAGGGACCUCUCGUAUAUUUAAACCUAUUUAGAUAAAUAAAAGCUAUGAAGGUUUAUUUAAAUAAAUUGGAGAAAUUAAAAAGUUUUAAAUUACAGUCUGAUUUUGUAAAUAUUAAUAAUGCCCAAACUUGUACUGUGCUUAGAGGUGGUGAUCAUGGUUGGGUUGUACUUCAAUACAAUUUUAAACCCGUUUUCGAGGCUUGUGCACGAUCUGACCCGAGCCUAGAAUUUUGUCCAAAUUUGAUCCAGAUAAAAAUGUUAAAACUCAAGUCUUGCCCGGUCCGACUAGUCUGUAUUAAAAAAAUUUAUAUUAUUAUUUUUAUAUAAAAACAAAUUUUAAAAAUAUAAUAUAUCAAAUACACUAAAAAUAUUAAUAUAAAUGUUUCCCAAUAAAUUAAAAAAUAAAUUAAAUUUUUUAUUUAUAUUUAAAUAACAUUGAGGUAAGUGCAACUUAGCAAGCAAAUGUCUCUAAAAUAGCAGUAAAAUUAAUAAUAAAAUAAAAGUUAUACAGUAUCCCAACAAUAACAAUAAAAUAGUAACAAUAUAAUAACAAAACGACACCAAAAUAAUGACAAAACAACAAAAUAGUGAAAAACAACAGUAAAAAGCAGCAGGAUUUUUUAUUUUAUUUUUGCAAAUUUGAGUUGAGUCGGGCAAAAAAAAAACUUACUCGAGUUCAACCUAUUUAGAAAACAAGCAUUUUUUUUGUCCAAACCCUUUUUAAGCUUAUAUUUUUAUUUAAAUCAUUCCAUUUUUCGGACAAAUCUUUAGCUCGGGCGGAAUAAUUUAGCCCAUGAUCAGUGUGCUGAUUUGUUUUAUUGUUUCAAAAAGGAUUAAUGUAUUUUUUCCAUCCUAAAUUUGACACCUAAACGUCGAAGAGGCUGGUGAGUGCAGGGGUCGGAAAGAUGUUGAUGAAGCGGGUUUUAAGGGGGAGGCAGUAGCAAAUGAUGAUGACGCUUUCUUACAUAAUGUUGACUUGGAUUUUUAUAUAACUUUUUUUUAUUUAAUAUUAAUAUUAAUAUUAAUAUAAAAUCUAAAUUUAUUAUAUUUUUUAAAAAUUUUAUGUAUUUUUUAUAUUUUUUAGAAUUUGUAAAUUUUAAGGGUUAAAACUUAAAAUUAUGCUUAAAUUGAUUAAUAUGUAAAAAUUAACUGCUAAAUUUACUAUUAUACUUUUUCCUUUUAACUGUCACAUCAUCCCGUUAGACACUUAAACGGCAAUUAACGAAAAUGAACAAAAAAAAUCUCAAUUAAUUAGGGGACCAAUUUAAAAGAAAAUUAUAGUUGGGUGACCGAAAACAAUAACCCAUAAUUGAGUGACAUAUGAUGUAAUUUAUCUUCUUUUUUUCUUUUUUUUUUGCUAUUUAACUUGCUAUAAUUACAACAUUCCCAUUUAUUUGUAGUGCUCAAACUUUUUUCAAAGUACUAUUAAAUAUAAAUGAUUUGCUAGAUUAUAAUCCAAGCCAUCCCUCCAAUCUGCAAUUUUCCCAUUAUUCAUAUCUAAAACAUGGACAGAAUCACACCAACCAAUAGUAUGUCACUACAUAUAAUCACACCAACUGAUUUAAUUGAUAUAAUCAACAAUAUUUCGAUGGUCAAAUAUAAUUCGCUUGGAAGUCAGUUAAUAAUUUUUUAAAAUUUUCGAUUACCGAUUAAUUUAGAUAGAAAUCAGGUAAUUAACUGAAUUAGUCGAAAUAAAUAAUGUAUUUUUGUAUAUUAUUAAUGAAUUUUUUAACUAUUAUUCUUUAUAUUAAUCGAAAUAAAUAAUAUAUAUUAUAUAUAAUUCAUUUUUUAAUGAACAUUAACAAUGUAAUUUUUUAUAUGUUUUAUAUUUAUUUUAACUAAAAGAUAAAAACAUGUAAAUUUCAUUUAAUUCGGUUAAGUGACUAAAUUAAUCAAAAUAUUUUAGUUGGGUUAAUGAAUUUGAAAAACCUUCAGUUCAAUUAACAGUUAAAGAUUUUUAGAUUUCGAAUAAUUCAAUUAAUAGUAAUUUGAUCCGAUUAAUAACCGAACCAACCGUUUAAACACUCCAACUAAUAAUAUAAGAAUGCAUAAAUAAAUAAGCAAACAUAACUUGAAAACUUCAAAUUACAACAUCCAGCAGCAACAUGCUGGGUAUGGAAAUUUCGUACUUAAAUCAACACUUUCUUUCAACAUCCAAAAAUAAAUAUUUCAAACUUAUUAAAUAAAAUUAUUUAAGUAUUAAUAACAUAAAUAGUUUAAAGAUGUAAUAAAAUAUAUCAAUUAAAACAAAAUAUCCGGUAGAUAUACAAAAUAAAUUAUAUUAUUAUAAGAACAUUUUUGCCUUUUUAUGUUUUACACAUAAUAAAAACUUAAUUAUAAAAGAAUUUAAACCCAUAAACAAUAAUUAUUAAACAUUUAAUUUAACCAUUUCAACUUACAAACUUUUAAUAAACAUAUUUCUUCCACAAUUUAAAAUAUAAAAACAGUUAGAAGCAAGCCAAAAAAAAAAAAAAAGUUAAAAUACAAAAAAAGCCCUCGAGAAUGAGUCUAGCAAAAAUGUCCUCUUCCCUCCGUUGUUUAAAGUCCUUUCAAAAUUAUACACAAAAUAUGCUAACCUAUGCUAUGCACAAACAUGUUUAAAGGGAGCAGUAACUCGAGGUGGCGGAAGAGACGGAGGUGGUGUACGAGGCAGAGGAGAGAAAGUAUCCUAGUCAAUGAUUUCUCCCUCUCCUUCACCAUUCCUCACAAGUUCUGCUACUUUCUCCCUAACAUACAAAUUCACUGGGUCAACUUGAGUGUCAUGUUUUUUGUUGUCGUCAUCAUCUUCUUCUCCUUCUUCACCAGCAUUGUUGUUUUCGAUAUCGUCAUCACCAGCAGCAUCAACGAUACUUUGGGUCAUUGUCUUGUUGCCAGCUUCAAUAUUAUCUUCAGCAUCAAGCAAGGUUUUCUCUUGAACGAUCUCACCCUCGGAUACACCAUCUUUAACAACUACUACAGGAAAUUUCAAGGGCUUCUCAGGCCAAUCCUUAAAGAAAGAAUUCAUAACCAUGAAGCGGAGAACCUGCAACAACCAGCUUUUAUCUUUCCUUAUAUCAGCUCUAAGAAGUUUUUGCAAAAGGGUCGGACUCCUCUUGCUGAAAGAACUGCCAUCAAAUGAUUCCUCAGUUGUUGGUCUUGGCUUCUUGGAAUUACAGUCUCUCUUAUCUGGUCUCCCUCUUUUAUCAUUCCUCAUUCCAAAUCUCCCCCUCUUGGUUGAUGGCCUACGGUUUUCUUCCCUUCCAUUCACCCUUUUCUCCAAACCUAGAAGAUACUGUGGCGGAAUUUCUGCAACUUCGACUCCUAAUUCAGCUUGCUUUGCCAAAAUCUCCUUGAGUUGCUACAACAGAAGGUUACAAUAUAUAAUAAGAAAAAACUUCAGUUACAUAGAUUGUGACAAUGAAGCAUCAAUCUGGCCACCUUGCAGAAUUUUAGUCACUGAAUGCCUGUUUUUAGAUUGAAACAAAUUUAUAAACCCAGAACUGAAAACUUCAGUUAUCUUUUCAUGAGUACUUUAACAUUGUUAGACAUGCUUAGACAAAAUGCCAAAUUUCUCGAAUCUUGGAUGCUAAUACAUUAACUAUUACAUAUAUCUAUGUUAUUUGGACCCGGGUGUGAGUUCAAAUACGGGUAUGUGUCUAACAAGGUUAUGUUCAAUUUGAAGGGUUGUAGUCCCAUACCCAAGUCCAAAUAUGUGCCGGAUACAGGUGUCAAACAAGGAUACUUCAAGAAAAAAGAAGAUUCAGAGCACCAUAGACAUAUAUGCCUAGGACGAGACACAAGGCAGUCUUAUAGGUGGAAAGCAUCAAACGUUUAUUAACCAGAUGGUUCCCUUUUAAGAUGAGAUUGGCCUUAUGCUCGAGCAUAUGCAAUACUAGUAAGUUUUUUAUAGAUCAGGAAAAAUUAAUAAAUGUACCUCGCUACGUGAUUUUUCAACCUCGGAGUCAGCCUCUUUUCCACUCAGUUUCUGCAGCCACGAAAGUCAAUUAUCCUCGAAUGCAUAUACACUUUAAAGGGAACAAAAAGUGAAAUGAAAGAGAAUUCUGCAGCUAUAUCCAACCUUCUUUAUGUUGGCUUUUGUUGGAUAGAACUUCUUACGUUCUUCACGCCACUUUCUUAUCUCUUCCUCCGUAUAGGUCAAAGCAAGCGACCUUCUCAUUUAAGAAAGAAUUGUGGACACAUCAAAGCAGAGAUUAAAAAUAAAGAAUGUAAUUAUAAGAGGAGAGAAAAUACAUGACAAUUUAUAAGAAAUAUUAAUCAUAAGUACAGGAAAAUAAGGUUAUGCUGUAGAUGAUUUCACUAAAAUGUCAAAUGCAAUUGAUUCGGUUCUAUUAGCCUCCCUGUUCGGAAUUAUUAUCAAGGAAAACAUUAACUUUUUCUCAAAAGUAUUUGGAAAGAACAGAAAGAAAAUCCUUUAACAUAGUUACAAGGCAGCUUGUAAAUUAAUUGAAACCUAUGUUGCUUGACUCUUCAUCUCUCUUGAAAUACUUGUUUCUAUUACAUAACCUGACAUAAGUUGGGAGAUAUGACCAUCCAAAGAUCCUCCAAAUACAUGAAAAAACUUUGAAAGAAAAUUGAACAUACCCAUCUCAAGCACAUAUACAUAGUUGACAAUCACAAUCAAGUCCGAAUAACAUAGCUGAAAACUACCUAGGCUGUCCAUACACAUACAUUUUCUGUACCCCAGCAAACAACUAAAUACAGAGAAAGAAAACCAACACACUAAAAUCUUGUGAAAUUUUAAAAGUUCUGGCAUUUAUACCAAAUCAAAACAAGUAAACCAACAGAGCAUCAGCAUUCCUUUUACCGUUUUCAUGCAUACGGUGGGAUUUCAUCCACAACAUUUCAGGCCUUGACUUAUCAUCAAUAGUUCAAACUUAUACAAGCAAGAACUUAAGCACCUCACCGAAACGGAAUCAAUUAAGGGCUAAGUCGGACAACUAAUGGUUUUUUAACAUGAUUGCUUAGAAUUAUUCCAGUUGUGACCACCAUUAAAAUAUUCAAGGAAUUAAGUUUCUAAAAUUAAUCACAUAAAGCUCAUUUAUUUAAACUCAAUGCAAUACAUCCCCAUUUGUCAACUCACUCUAAUCCCAUACCACUUAACUUCUAUUUAAAGUAAUUCACGUAAAUACUCAAGAGAUACCACCAUUCCAUUCUCCAUACCAAUAAAACUCCCAUGAUAAAAUAGUUAUUGCAAGCCAAAGAACUGCUUCAAAUAUAAGAAAGCAUAAAUAGAACUGUCUAUUUUCAGGCUAACCACUGUCAUAAGUGUAGCAGACAUCAUUUGUAAAAAAGCAGUUUCAACUAAAUAAAUGUCUCAUGUUAACACAAAAUUACUCUCAACUGAACGUCUCUGUCAAAAAGCAAAAGUUAUCUUCACAUCUGACAAGCAAGAUUAUGAAACGAGUAUUAGCAAACAGAAGUUACCUUCUCUUUUCUUUAGCUGGGUUUGCAGAAUUAGAAUGAGGAAAUUUAGCUGCCCUCUCAUUAUCAGGCCCUGUUAUUUUUUUUCUCAAGGUGAGGAGAAACUAGAAUUUUUUUUCAAAAGAAACAAAAGAAUCUAGUAGCAAAAAACAAAUAAAAGAAUAAGAAGGUACAAAGGAAACCAAUAUCUAUUUUCAAGUUGUAGACACCAAAAAUGCAAAGUUGUGCAUGGAAAAAAUUGUCUGUCUUGUUUUUUAAAGAGCCAAAACAAAUCAAUUUAUUUCAAACAUAAAGCUUCAGAUGUCUGUACAUUGGUAUUCACAUGUGAAUUCAAAUAAAUCAAACAAACUAUAUCUUCUAAUAUCCCUUUCUUGGGUUUUUAGUUUCCAACAGAUAGAGAAGAAUUUAAGCUUCACAACAGCUUUAGCUCUACCGAUCUCAUACUUCAGUGAUCCAAACCUAUCCCAGAGUACUCUUAAGGUCUUUGCUUAUUUAAGUGUAAACUUCUACACUUUUACCAACUUAUCUGAAAAAUAGAAAACCUUCCAUCUUUUUUUUUUUGCAAUGCUAAAUUAAAUGUUUGAAUAAAACAUAUCUUAAACAUAGUGAUCAACACUAACAGCAAUUUCCAUCGAUCACUCCAUACACCUUGCACAUCCUAUUCUAUUUCCUGAAACCUGUGACUAGCUGGGACUUCCAUCUUAAACCCUAAUUCACUAUUCCAAAGAAAGUCUUGUUUCACCCAGUCGCAGUUUAUUUUCAAUCAGAUCACUGGAAUUACUAGGAAGGGAACAAACACUAUAUCAUAUUCAUUUAUAAUCAAGAUUUUUUUCAAUGAACUCCGACUUGUCCCAGUUGAAUCACUAUAUAAUCUUUUAAAAAGGGGAUUAAAUCAGUUCAUUUAUAAUCAAAUUCCAUUUGAGAUAUAAAGCCAGACGAAGUGACAACUGCAUUAAUAGUGAAAAUGUCAAGUAACUUUUUAUUUUUAUGCUUUAUGACAAAACAAAGAAAAAAGAAAAAAAAAAGUUUAUUUAUCCACAGCCCAAUGUAUCCAAGAAAGACCAUUUAAGUUAUUUGAAAUUCAUUAAAAGGUUAACCUUUUUUCUUAUGUCCAUUAGAAGAUGCAAACGCUCUCUUUCCAUUAUCCGCUUGAUGGAACCGGGGCUGCUGGAACUUAGACUUCUGAGAUCUACAAAAAUUGAAUUUCAGCUGUAUAAAAAGCCAAAAAUCGAAGUCUUUCACAAAGAGAAGCUAGAAACUGUAAGAUGUUUAAGAAUACCAACCCCCAUUUUGAAUCCCUUUUAGCAUUUCUUCCAGGAAAGUUGUUCAUGUUCUGACUGUUUUUACCAGGACCACCCUUCAACAAUUGAAAAGACUUGCAUUAAUUUCAAAAGCCAAAUCAAAAGAUAAAAUAGACACCAAAAACAUUGUGGAAAAGAAAUUUUAACACCAUACAUCAACCAUUUCCAGCUUAACAAUUACGAAACUUUCACAUUAAAUAACAUCAAAGCAGCUUGAGAAGUUCUGCUUAGGGAAAAGGUAUAACAUAAGCUAUUAAGAACCCAAAUGGAGUAUCUCCAAUGGUACGUAUAUCUUUCCAAGUUAAUGCACAACAAAUAAUGCAAAUUCUCAUUUGAUAUCAUCAACUUUUUGAAUCUUCACCGUUAACUUUACAAGAUGUGUUUAACCCAAACUCAUACAUCAAAGAAAAUGGCACGGCUGCACCAUUGGAACUUUGAAAGAAUAGUAUUGCUAAAGUUUAUGCUUUUAUCCACCAAAGGCAAUCAGACUCUCUUAAACCACUUUCAGAGUCAACAUUCACAACCAAACUACCUCCUUAGUUCUAGCACAAAGUUAAAACAGUAAGGGUGUAAAAACAGAUACCAUUGGCCUUCCGAAAGAAGGGUCUCCUGGUACUAGUGAAGCAGGUACAGAAGACAAAUUCGAUGCAUUAACAUCCGCUAAAUUUUGCUGACUCUGAUUGGCUUGCUGCUGCAUCUGGUUUGGCCGCAUAAUCCCGAAAUGCGGAUUCGGAACAAUGGCUUGGCCACCAGAAACAAACUGUGAGAGAUCUGGGAGUUGAGAAUUCAAAAGUUGGCUCACAUUCUGCAAUUGGUUCUGUAAAAAAAGCUGUUGUUGCUGUAGUUGUUGCCGCUGCUGCUGCCCAUUUGUCAAACCCAUAUUAUUUUGUUGAGGCAAAUUCAACCAAUUUGGUUGAUUUGGAUUAUGCAAAGAGUUAUUGAAUUGAGCAGGAAGUUGUGGGAACAUUGCAAGAUUGUUCAUGUUUGGGAAAACUGGACCAAUUUGAGGAAACCCCGUACUGUUAUUUUGUGUAGGAAACUGCUGGUUAGCUCCAUUCAUGAAUCCAACAUUAUUUAGCAAUGGCAUAACACUAGAAUUCUUAUUAAUAUUAUUAAUAUUAUUACUCAACGGAGUUGGCAGCUGAGGAUUAAAAAUACCCAUUUGAGGUUGCAUCAUAAGCAUGUUCAUGUUGUUAUUGCACUGGUUUGCCACCGCAGAAUUUGAUUGAAAACCAUUCUGCUAAAAAAAAUAAAAUCAAAACCCAAAUUUCAAAUUCAAAAAAGAAAAAAGAGAGAGAGUAAGAAAGAGAGAAUCAGAGAGGCUACCUGCUGGGGUCGGUGGGAAAACGAAUUGAACGGAGGUCUCAUUGAGUUACAAUGAGAACUAAAGAUGCCGUCGGGUUUGCCAAUUGAUGAGAGAUAAAUUGCUUGAGCUUUCGCGGUGGAGCGUUUUGAUGUUUUUAGGGUUUUAGAUUGUAAAAAUUGAAAACCCUCUAAUUCUUUGGAGGGUUUUGGUAUGGGUUUUUAGGGUUUUAGAUUGUGAAAAUCGAAAACCCAGCUGAUUAUUGGGCUUACAACAGGCCGUAGGGUUAGUGAUAAUUUUGGCAUAAUGAUAAGUUUAGUCCUUAAUGUUUAUAUUUUCUGUCAAUUCGAUCUUUAUUCUUUUUGAGCUAUCCUUUAAAAAAGAGUCAAAUUAUUUUUUUAAGAUGUUAAUCUGACAACUCGCAUAGCAGUCUAUGUGUACUUAAUGUUGACAUAACAAUAUUUAUUUUAUAUGCUACGUUAACAAAUAAUUUAAUAUAAAAAUAAAUCAAAAUUAUAAAUAUUUCAUAAAUAUUUAUUAGAAAAAAUAACAUGAAGUACAAAUGGAUUGUCACAUUAAUUAAUUUAAAAUUUUAGCCAACAAUUCCAUUAAAAAAACCAUUUCAACUAUUUUUCAAAUGGUUAAUGAUCAAAUUUGACUCUUUUAAAAAGGUUGAGAGAACUAAAUUUAGCUCAAAAAAUAAUAAGAAUCAAUUUGAAAAAAAAAUGUUAACUUUUAAGGGUCAAAUUUGAUAUUGUCCCAAUAACUUUAGCCUUUCAUUUUUCAUAUUGUUAAUUGCGUUAGGUUUAAAUUAUCUUAACCGGCUCUCAGCUCCUCUUUCUUAGUUAAUGUAAGUUAUCAAAAUAUAAAGUUAAUCUCAAUAUUCCUGAAGUAUGAAUUUUAUCUGUAGGACAAAAUUACCCUUUUAUUUAUUUUUAUUAUUUUCAUACUAUUUUUUUCCAUAAAAUCAUAAAAAUUAUUUCAUUUUAAAUUUAUCUUAAAUACUGUUAAAUUAAAUUUUAAAAUAUAUUACAAUUGUAGUGCAUACUAAAUAUUUAAAAAUCAUUUUAAAUUUAAUCACAUAUUAGUUUUGAGAUAAAUGUAUUGAUUUUUAUUUAAAGUAAAAAAAUAUUAGAUAAAAAUAAAUUGAUUAACUAUUUAAAGUAUUUUUUUUACUAUUAAUCUUUAUCGUAUAUGCUUUUUGAUACAAUGCCUGAAACUACCCAUAACCCCCCCAACCCUUAAAUAGGAAGACAAUGUGCUUCAACACACUCAACCCGCGUCUUACCACAUCGGCAACAAUGCCGAUGUCAAUCGAGCUAAGACUCAAUCGAAAUAAUUUCAAAAUUUAUCAUUGCUUAAUACACCAAAUGUAUCAAACGAUUUUACUUAGCACUUCCCCAUAUGUACCAAACUUUAUAAUGAUAUAUAUCAUUAUUAGGAAUGUACAUUGGAAUCUCAAUCCCAACAUCGAAAAAUAUCAAUUACCUCCUGAACAUUGAAGGAGCUAAGCUUGUUAAAAAUUUUCUAUAACAAGAAUAGUAAAUUCUGCUUAUCUAUCAGCCAAACAAAAAAAAAAAAAAAUCAUUCCACCUAAAUAUACCGUACAGGAUAAUAUAACAUUGAUAAAUAAUCUUUCAUUCCCGUAAUUCUAUGACACAGAUAAUCUUAUAGAUCGAUGUCACCUAGAGUUUACUUUCGGUCUGAUGUUUGAAUCCCAUGGCGCUUGAAGAAUUCUCUAAAUCCAUAAGCACUGAGAUCGUAAUUGAACUGCAUAAUACCAUAGAUGUAACAAUAGUUAUAGAUAAUAUAUCAAAUAAUAAUAAAUACAGAAGAGAAUAUUGCAUCAACAGAACUUACAAAAAUACACUUUUACCAGCAUUUAUGUACAUUCAUGAUUGUGAAAUUCUAGAUAGUUGAGUUUAUGUACAGAAACUAAGUGACAGAUGAAUGAAUCUCUAACAAUGGUUAAGCAUAUAAGGGGUUUAAUGUACAGAAUGCCCACAAACCUAAAAUAUUAAAAGCACUGAGAUCGUAAUUGAACUGCAUAGUACCAUAGAUGUAACAAUAGAUAUAGAUAAUAUAUCAAAUAAUAAUAAAUACAGAAGAGAAUAUUGCAUCAACAGAACUUACAAAAAUACACUUUUACCAGCAUUUAUGUACAUUCAUGAUUGUGAAAUUCUAGAUAGUUGAGUUUAUGUACAGAAACCCAAGUGACAGAUGAAUGGAUCUAACAAUGGUUAAGCAUAUAAGGGGUUUAAUGUACAGAAUGCCCACAAACCUAAAAUAUUAAAAGCAUUGUAUAUGUAAAGCACAAUGAAUAUCUGAAAUUUGUGUUUGCAUAUGGAAUCAUAUUGAGCAAAGCAAAAAAAAAAAGCCAAGAACCAGCCCCGAUGAUGCUAACAGAUUUUAGGGGAAAAAGGCUACAAAACUUACAGGUAGAACUUUUACAGAAUAUCUUGUGGUACUUGGAUCGACAACCCUCCCUUGAUCUGCUGCCUGCAAUAGAAUGUUCUUAUUAAAUACAUCAAACAUUCAGGAUCAAGCUCUAAUGUUAUUACAAAAAGUAGACUCCAACAUAAAACAGGGAGCAAGUUAUAAAUUAAAACAUAUUUUGCGCUUGUAAGAUUCAUUUGAAUGCAGCUUGACUGCAGGUGAACUUAUGGAAAAACAUCGUAAAUAAUAUAACUACUAAGCUAUACAAUGUCUCAUAAUUCUCCCUAUCAGUGCACUUUGGAUAGAAAGUGCCUAUGGGCCACAUGUUUAAGUUGCAGAAACAGCCAUUCUGCAAAGCAGAAAUAAAGCUGCAUAGUUCAUAUACUUCCCAGAAUCCAGAGAAGCAUAGCGUAUGCUUGAGCUUCUUUUUUAUCUAUCAGAACUCUCCCUCGAGAUUUAACCGCUGAAAGUGAUCAACUCCAUGGUUCCACAAAAAGUCUAAUCUUGCUUAUAUUAACCAAACCCCACAUUUUAUUCAAACUGAAAUAUAUAUAUAUGUUCACUAGCCACAACAUGCAGCAGAGACUAUUGUUUGUCAUUAACACUUGCUAGCAGCCGUUUAGCCUUCUUUCUUUUGACUUUUAGUUAUUUCCUACACCAACACACUGUCCCAAGUUUAUACUUCAUUUGUCUUGCAACAAAACAGCCACAGAAUAUAUGGGAACUAGUUUUUCAUUAACUCAGAAAAGAUAAGCCUGGUUCAUCUAUUUCUUUCAUUUCCUUUUUAUUUUUUUUUCACCUGACAAGUUAUCUAUAUUGGUCAUUCUCAGCGAGGCAGAAAAGCUAGUAAAUUUUCAUGCAAAACCUUUUCAAGUAAUGAGGUUUUUGCAGGAGUAAACCACAAUGAUUUGGCUACGUGCUUUAGUUCUACAAGGGCCUAAUUGUUAAGAAGCCAUAACUGAAUCAAAAGUAGCUAGAUAGUAGAAAGUUCAAUUGGCAAAUAUGCUUAAGGUUAUUAUAGUUUCAGCAACUAUUACACUUCUGUAUGUUAAACAAAAAUCAUACAAUCCUUGAACAACCCCGCACUAGUCAACUUUAGUUCGGAAUGCUUUAAUCAGUUAACAGCAACUGGUUACAACAGACCAAAGCAAGCAAAUGGCGCAGUAGAGGGAGAAAAUAGAAAUAAAGAGAAGUUGCAUACUUGCUCUGGACUAUGAAAUAUUUCAAUGAAUGGGUAUUCAUUCUUCUGCCGUGUUAUACAAAACCCUGGAUAUUUUGGGCACUCAACCUGCAAGAGAAUAACACAAGAAACUAAGAUGUGAGUGCAAAGAAAGAACAAAGAAACUAACCCAUAUAGUAAGUUAGCACAACUACUAUCACCAUAUGACAGUAAUCACUACAAAAUUUAGGGUAGGUACAUAAAAGCCUCUCCAAUUUCAUAAACCUCAUUCCCCAUCCCCAAUGUUCAAAUCCAAGGCCCCGAAAUUGAAAGUCAUAGGAUAUCCGCGUAAGUUGGACAAGGGUUUAUACUAAGAACAGCCAAUUUAAAGUGAAAAUGCUAAAAGAAUAGAAGCAUGGUGAAGAGGCCCCUGUACAAGCAGCCAGAUUGCAACUCAAAAAAUGGGUAAAUUAGUUUUUGUACGUUAGAUCAAAGAGCAAACUCGUCAAAAUACAGAAAUAACCAUUUUCGUCUUCGAACUAACGUAUAGGGGCUAAUUUGCCCUUUUUUUGAGUAGAGGGGCAAAAUACAUACAAUGGCCGCCACGGUACUUUUACCAUAGAAGCAUAUACUCUCAUACUACAAUACAACCACUCUACAACAUCGCUAUGAUGAGACUGUAAAAAUGUUUAAGUAAUGACCUGUUUCAGCAUUUACACAUUAUCAGAAGAAGAAGAAGAAGAAGAAACAUACGCGCAUAAAUUUAACAUUCGGAUAGAACUCAACAGCAGCUUCCUCCAGUACUUUGUCAAGAUGCUUUGUGUAGUUCCCCCUGCAAUAUACAUACAGGAUGAGCUAGGGGAAUAUACAUACAAUGGGUAAAAGGAGGGAUGGGGUUUUAUAUGACCUGAUAGUGAAUGCAACAACAACGGGAUGACCUUGCUGAAGUAGCUGUACAAAUUCACGCUCGGAUUUGAAAUGAAUAACUCGUGAUGGUCCAAGAUCUUUAGGAUAACCAGUAUAAUACCUUCAAAUUUUAACAAGAAAAUAAACAUAAACAUGAAUGCUUUAUCAUACAACAUUCAAAUUGAUACUACAAUUUAUCUGCUUAAAACUUGAUAGAAAAAAAAAAUCAAAAAUUGAAUUGAAUUUGCAAGAUCAAAGAUAAAUGAAAACUUAUCUUACUUGCAAGAUGAACGGAGAUGGGUGAUCAUUCUAUCAAAAAAUGAUUGCUCCAUUUUUGGAAAGACAAGCUGAAUCUGAGUCACUAAACCAGAAGCUAAUUUUUUUUUAAUACCAGAGACAUAGAAGAGCUAAGAGAAAGCAAUAGAAGAAAAGAAAGGCAGAAAAGUUUUACUAACCUGGUUUUGGCCAAUGGAGAAGAAUGAAAUGCUGUUGACUGGCCUGCAAAUUGAAACAAAAAAAAUUUGGGGAAAAUAUUUUUGGUAAACUAGGAGAAUAAACGAAAAUGGUGGCUCUGCAAAAGCGUUUUGAGUUUGGGACAAAUUAACAUUUUAGUACCGCAUUUGUCAAUUUUUCUCAACUUAGUCCCUGAACUUUUUUCUCAUUAGUCCUUUAAUUUUACAUUCUUUUCUAGUUUUGAUCUAUGUGAUAAUGCCACAUUGCGAUAUUGCUCCACCUAGAGCUGUCCAUGAGUCGAGUCGAAGCUUAAUCCCAACAAAAAUUUCAUUUCGAAGUCCAUUUUUUAACUAACUUCGCCCGUUCCAAAAACUUAUUUUACUGUUCAAAAAUUAAUAAAUUUAUAAACAAAUAUAUUUUUAAUUGAUAUUUUACAAUUAUAUUUAAACUUAAAAAUAUUUUUUAUUUAUUUAAAUUGAAUUCAAAUUGAUUAGGCCGUACCCGAGACACAAAUAUCCUUUUUCAAGUCUAGCCCAAAUUGGAUUGGGCCUAUUGGGCUGGGCUACAGAUAGGUCUAGUGCCCCCAUCGCAUAAAAAAACUAAAAAUUUUAAAAAUUUUAGGUGAAGAUAUGGAAAAAAGUGAAAGGAUUAAAUUAAAAAUUUUGUCAAGAUUAGGGACUAGAAGUUAUUUUAUCCCUUUGAGUUUUGAUUUGGGUAAGAGGAUUAGUUAGAUUUGAUGAUUUUAUUUUAAUUUAGUCUGUAACACCCCCUAACCCCAAACCGUCACCGGAACAGGGUUAUGAGGUAUUACCGGACAUAUCAAACAAUUUACAAAUAAUUCAUAAAUAAAUAACCAACAUAUUAAAAUAAUUCAUAAAUUGUUAUAAAAUUUCCUACUUGAUUUCAUUUUUAAAAAAAAAAUUCGGCAGCAUUUCUACUUAUUUUUACAUAAAACCCCCUACAAAAUUUCAAAACAUAACCAACCCAAUUCCAGUAUUUCAAUCAAGGCAUUUAUAUAAUUAAAUCUUACUUGACAUAUUGACAUAACAACUUAAUUAAUAAAAAUCCUAUUAUCAUUUCUAAUUAACUCAUAAAACUAAUCAAGUCAUUUCAAUUCGAUACCAAUGCCAUAAAGGACUUCUACUAUUUUACUAAUAUAAUCAUCAAAACACAUAAUAUCUUACUUUACAACAAACCUAUAUAAAAUACCAAAAUAACUAUUAUAAUUCUUAUGUACAUGCUACUUUCAUUUAGAGAAGAAAACAUCACCGAAAUCUCUAUGUAGGAGUCGAGAUUGACCGGAUGUUGAACCGAGACUUAGACCCCUUUUUCAACCUACGCACGGAAACAACCGUACGCUGAGUAUUUUGUACUCAGUGGUAUUACCAUAAUUCAAAUUAUAAUAGCAAUAAAGAAUUAUAAUUAUGAAGCAUGUAACUAUCCAAUUUUUUAAAUAUCAUUUAAUUCAUAAAUUUUCAUUAUUUAACAAUAACAAUACAAUUUUUAGCUAUUCUUCAUUCUCAAUCACAUAUCACAUGUAGCAAUUUUUGAUCACUACAUAAACAUUAAAUUUAUGUCUUUUAUUUUCAAUAUCAAUUUCAAUCUAUAAAUUUUAAAUUUUCUCAUAUUCAAUUAUUCACCCUAUUAACAAUCUGGACUUUGACGGAUACACGGAUUUCAACUCAAACACACUAAUACGGCACAUUGUGCCUAAAACGGUACAUAGUACCUGAUCAGUGUACGACACAUAAGUGCCUGAAACGACACACGAGGUGCCUGAUACGACACAUAAAGUGCCUGAUCGGCAAAGCCGAUAAAUCCCGUACUCUUCCAAAAUCCUAUGGCAUGCCAACUAUAUCCGAUUUAGCCCCACUAGUUAAUAGGGUAUUCAAAUUCUCAACUCUCUUUCAUUUUCAAUUCGAGAUCACUUUUUCACCUUCUAAUCAAUUAACAAUUUAAUACCAAUACAUAUUUCAAUUCAAUUAAACCACUUUUCAAUCAUUACACAAUUCACAUAUUCACACAUAUUCAUAAAUUAAUUCACUUUAUUUAAUACAUAUUUUAAAUUAAUUCUUUAAUCAAAUUCAAAUCACUAAAUACUUUUUAAUCAAUAUACAUUUCAAAUACUCACAUAUUUCCAUCAUUCGAUUCAAUUUGAUUUAGUUCAAGUCACUAUUAUCAUUCCAAUUGCUUACCUAAUUUUACUUACCAUGCAUUUAAUUAAAACAUAACAAUUAAUAAUAAAUAAAUUUGAAUUAUAGUAAUACAAACCCGAAUUUGCUCGAUUAUUCCUCAACGACCUUCUCCUUCCCUUUUUGUGCCGAUACCUCGAAUUCUUUAUUAGCUACAAAAAUUAAAUAAUUAAUUAAUUAAUUACAGCACAAAUUUUUACAAUAAAAAUAAAAUUUCUAUCAAAUUUUAUACUGUAAUUCCAAUUAAAUUCUAACUAGAUUUAUCUACUUUUCUAAUUUAAUUCACACUCUAUUUCUAUUCAAAUUUCUUCUAAACUCAAAUUUAUCUACUAAAUUUUCAGCAUUUUUCACUAAUUUCGAAUUUCUCUCAAAUUGGUCCCCAAAACAUAAAACUUAUAGUUUCUUUUACAAUUUAAUCCCUUUAUCAAUUCUAACUUAAAAUUCAUUCAAUUAAAUCCCUAAUUCAACAAUUUAUUCAACAUGAACCAUGCUUAAAAACCUAUAAACUUCCAAAACCUCAACUUAACUUCAUCGAAACUCUACUCUAAAGCUUCUAAAACAUCAAAAUUAAAAGAAAAGGGCUUAAUUGACUUACCAAAUUAACUCCAAGCUUUAAAAACCCUAUAUUCCCUUUUUCUUUCUUUUUCUUAUUUAUUUCCCCUGUCUUCGGAAGAGCUUCUGUUCUUUUUCUUCUCUGUUUCUUUCUUUUAUUUUAUUUUAUUUCUUUUAUUGUUUUUAAUUACUAAACAAUUAAUAUAAUAUUAAUAUAAUAUAUCUUAUGCUUACAUAUUAAGUAAACCAAGUGUUUAAUUGCAUUUGUACAUAUUUAUUUUAUUACACUUGUAUAAAUUUUAUACCAUUUAUUUGUCAAUUAUCUUAUUUAUUUAAUAAAAAUCUAUUUAACAACAAUUAAUAGUAUUACAAAUGUACAUAUAUAUUUUAUUUAUGAAUGUACAAUAUCAUCUAUACCAUACAUUUGUCAUUACUUAAUUUGUUUAUCAAAUAAAAAUAUCAUAAUAUAAUUAUUUAAUUAAUAAUUAUCUUUUACUAAUUUUCAAGUAAAUAAAUAAAUGCAAUACACUUGUAUUUUAUUUUUACCAUACACUUGGCAAAAUCAUAAUUUUAUUAUUAACCAAAAAUUGUAUACUAAUUAUUUAAUUAUUAAAUAUCUUUUAAUUUAAUAAUUACUAAUAAUAAAUAAUAAAUAUCUUAUACUUAAUUAAUAAGCAAAUUAAAUCUAAAAACUACAAAUAUAUACAUAUUUUAAUUACACAUGUAUUAUUUAUCAUAUCCAUACAACUGACAUAUUUUGAUUUAUUUAAUAAUAUAAUAUCAUUAUAAUUUAAUUAUCAUAAAUUCAUAUAAUAUGAAUUAUAUUUAAAUAUCAUUAAUUAUAUAAUUAAACAAAUAAAAUCUUAAAUUCUAUUCCUUUGUGCCGCCUCAACUAUGCUAAAUGGCUUAAUUACCAUUUUAGCUCUUUUUACUUUCUUUUAAUCUAUAAUUAAACUUUCACUUCUAUUGUAAUUUAAUCCUUUUUACUAAUUACUCUUAAUUAAGCUAAAUUCACCUUUCUAAACUAGUCUAAUAAAUAUUUCUAAUAAUUAUUUUUUAAUUCAAUUUACUAAGACGGAGGCCCGAUAUUAUACUUUUCCGAUGCCCAUGAAUUUUAGGUCAUUACAUGGUCUUUAUUAUUUUUAUAUUAGAAAUUAUGAAUUUUAUGUUUAUUAAUUUAUUAAUGUUUUAUAUGUAGAAUCAAGAAUAUAUGAAUAUUAUUUUUAUUGGAAUGUAACAAUAUUUUUAAGAUGAAAUUAUGUUUUUAUGGUGUCAUCAAUCAAUUUAAGAAUGAGGUUUUAUAAUUAUAAAUCUAAAAUUUAAGAAUGUCAUUUUAUAAUUAUAAAUAUAAUUGUUAUAUUUGUUGAUAAAUUGUGUGAAUUUGAAAAACUAUACACUCUCAAUGUACAUAACGAUGGUGAUUAUGAUGUUAUUUGUUAUAUUUGUAAUUAUAAUAAACGCAACACAACUGUAAAUGCAUUUUAAAUUAUUUCUAGUUUGCGGUACGACUUCCUUCAAAGAUUAGAUAAUGAAAGAAAAUGGGAGUAUGAAUUAUAAUAUGAUCUAAUGGUGGAAGCCAAUCCACUAUUAGGGACGAGCGUUUUAUCGGAUUGAGUGAAAAUUUUUGAGUUGUUGAGUAUUAUCUUCUUUUUUUUUUUCAAAUCGAGUUUAGUGAAAUGAAAUUUUAAAUUUUAGAUAAAAAUUAAAUUAAAUAAUUUAAUUAAUUUUAGUAUUAUAAUAACAACUCUGCUAAGACUAUCAAGUAAUACAAAUUUCUCUACAAUUUAUUUAACUGAUUUUGAUGUUUAAAAUUUUUAAAUUUAAAUAUUGAAAAAAAUUAAAACAUUCGGUAAGAGUGUGAACAAGUACAAAUUGUCAAAUUUGUAAUGAUCUUUUUAGUUUCUACCGCUAUUUCACUUUAAUUCUUAAUUUUUUUACCCAACCAAUACUACAAAAAGAUAAAUUUUCGGGUGAUUAAAAUGAAAGAGAUCUAGCAAUUGAGUGACCAAAAUGAAAGUAUAAAUAUGAGGUAGCGUUUACAGUAGAUAACAGUUAGAGAUCCAAUGCCUGAGUGACUAAAAUGAAAGUGCCCUAAAACUUAGGUGACAAAAUUGCAAGGGUAAUAAAAAUUAUGCUAUUAGUCACUUUACUUUGCAAAAGUUGAGGAUUUAAUUCAUGUACCUUUAUUUGGUUAUUUUUAGACUUUAGUCCUUGUACUUUCCACAUUUUAAAAUUUCAGCUAUCACCGAACAAUAAUUGUAAAAUUCAUUGUGUAAAGUUUUGUUAUUUUCAAAAUCUGAUGCGCCAAACAUAUUAUCAUAUGUGUCAAGACUAAAAUUUCAAAAUUCGACAAGUAUAAGGACUUAGAAUGAUGCAAUUAGAGAAUAAAGUCUAAAACUAUAAAUGUAGCAUAGUAUAAGACUAGUAAUUGAAUUUAACUAAAUAGAUUUAAUUGCUACUGAUUGAAUUAAGACUACCAUUUCAAAAUUUGAAAAGUAUAGGGAUUAAAACUGAUCGAUUUAAAAAAUACAGGACUAAAAGUGUUUAAAUAAAAGGAUAAGAGCUAAAUCCACAAAUUGGGUAAAGUACAGGGACUAAUAGCGGAAUUUAAGAUAUAUAGAUAGAUUAUAAAGUUAGGGUUAUAUCUAAAACUCGAUUUUGAAAGGCAGAACAGAGCACACGAGUCGAUCGCAAAUCUCCGUGAGUUUCCCUUCUUUUUUAUUUGAAUUUCUCUGUUUCUGAUUUCCAUUGGUAAAAGUAGCAAUUGCAAGUUGUUGUUUUUUUCUUAAUCGUAAAAUUGGAAAAAAAUAAAUCGCAGAAGAUUUGAGAUAGGGUUUUGAAAAUCCCUAAAUGUACAACGGAAUCGGACUGACCACCCCUAGGGGGUCAGGCACCAAUGGUUACAUUCAGAGCAACAAAUUCUUUGUAAAGCCGAAGACGAAUCGGGUAACCGAUUCCACCAAGCCUUUCGAGGCAGAUCAAGGCACCGCAGGUCUCACCACCAGGAAACCUAACAAGGAAAUCCUCGAGCAUGAUCGCAAGCGUCAGAUUGAGCUCAAGCUCGUGAUUUUGGAAGAUAAACUCGCCGAACAAGGUUACACUGAAUCUGAGAUCGCUGAUAAGCUUGCUGAAGCUAGGAAGGCUCUCGAAGAUGC